CCUACGGGUGGCAGCAGUGAGGAAUAUUGGUCAAUGGACGAGAGUCUGAACCAGCCAAGUAGCGUGAAGGAUGACUGCCCUAUGGGUUGUAAACUUCUUUUAUAUGGGAAUAAAAUGUUCCACGUGUGGGAUUUUGUAUGUACCAUAUGAAUAAGGAUCGGCUAACUCCGUGCCAGCAGCCGCGGUAAUACGGAGGAUCCGAGCGUUAUCCGGAUUUAUUGGGUUUAAAGGGAGCGUAGGUGGAUUGUUAAGUCAGUUGUGAAAGUUUGCGGCUCAACCGUAAAAUUGCAGUUGAAACUGGCAGUCUUGAGUACAGUAGAGGUGGGCGGAAUUCGUGGUGUAGCGGUGAAAUGCUUAGAUAUCACGAAGAACUCCGAUUGCGAAGGCAGUUCACUGGACUGCAACCGACACUGAGGCUCGAAAGUGUGGGUAUCAAACAGGAUUAGAUACCCUAGUAGUC
rnacentral:rRNA from 1 species